rnacentral:rRNA from 1 species
GAUGAACGCUAGCGGCAGGCCUAAUACAUGCAAGACGAACGGUAAGUUGAGUAGCAAUACUUAGCCAAGAGUGUCGUACGGGUGCGUAACACGUAUGCAACCUACCCUAUACAGGAGGAUAGCCUAGGGAAACCUGGAUUAACCCUUCAUAGUAUUAUUGGAUGGCAUCAUUUGAUAAUUAAAACUGAGGUGGUAUAGGAUGGGCAUGCGUCUGAUUAGUUAGUUGGCGGGGUAAUGGCCCACCAAGACGAUGAUCAGUAGGGGUUCUGAGAGGAAGAUCCCCCCACACUGGCACUGAGAUACGGGCCAGACUCCUACGGGAGCAGCAGUAGGGAAUAUUGGUCAAUGGAUGCAAGUCUGAACCAGCCAUGCCGCGUGCAGGAAGGAAGGCCUUCUGGGUUGUAACUGCUUUGCCAGGGAUAAAUUUCCAUGCGUGGAAAACUGAAGGUACCUGGUGAAUAAGCCACGGCUAACUACGUGCCAGCAGCCG